rnacentral:rRNA from 1 species
UACGGAGGGGGCUAGCGUUAUUCGGAAUUACUGGGCGUAAAGCGCACGUAGGCGGACUGGAAAGUUGGGGGUGAAAGCCCAGGGCUCAACCCUGGAACUGCCUUCAAAACUCCCAGUCUUGAGGUCGAGAGAGGUGAGUGGAAUUCCGAGUGUAGAGGUGAAAUUCGUAGAUAUUCGGAGGAACACCAGUGGCGAAGGCGGCUCACUGGCUCGAUACUGACGCUGAGGUGCGAAAGCGUGGGGAGCAAACGGG